GCGAAAGAGAGAGCUUUAUUAAUGAUGAAUAAUCAGGUUUACAUCCUGAGCAACAACUUGCUCAAUACACACACUGGAACUCGCUCUCUCCAAACGGCGCUAGGACAAAGGCGCUUGGCUAUCUGUGCUAACUCGUGAGCAACAUGGUUCUGCUCUCUACCCGCAUGGCAAAACUGAACUCGUGGCAGCUUACCGGCUUCCUCUAAUGCGUCGCGAAUGAUGUACGUGGAUGUGGAUCGUUGGAUGCUUGGGCAGUUCAGGUACUUGAUCACCGUGGAACAGUCAGACUCAACAAUAGCUGAGAAAGGUGCCCAAUAAUCUGCUGCAAGUGCCAGCCCUUCCCGGCAAGCUAAUGCCUCCUCCUGCUCUGCAGAGUUCACGUCGUCGAUGUAAUUCCAGCCGGAUAAGAUCACCUCACCUCUGUGAUUCCUGAUGACGACUCCAAUGCCACAGCCUCUCCUGACGUCUCCGGCUUCAGUUGAGAGAGUAUUUUCAGCUAUGGCUGUUAUAAAGACAGAUUUGUGUAGCAAAAUGGGGGAUGAUUGGAUGAACUAAUUGAUGAUAUGCUACAUCGUGAAGGAGAUAUUUAGAAGCAUUAGCAAUGAUAAAAUUAUACAACAUUUUGAAGAGAUGAAAAAACAUCGAAUGUUAGUGCCUCGGAAUGCUCCUCGUGAAGAUGCUCAAUCCUCAUGAUUCAUGAAGAAUAAUGAACGUCGUGCUUUAUCUAUUGCUUGGUAUGGAAAAAUUACAAUUUGACUUUUUUUAACUUCUUAGCAAUGUAUUUUGCUUUAUUUAUCAAUGUUGUCAUAUGAAACCGCUUUAAACAACUAUGUUGGUUUAGUAUGUGACCCAACGAAUUUAUGGCAUUGUUAGUUCAGCCCCCCUAGUUUGGAAACCUAGCUUCGCCCCUCAACCUACUGUUUAGUAUAGCAGUGGUAAUAAUGGAUCGGUGCAUAUAUAGUAGUAGUAGCUACUCCUCUGUGGUUAGUGAUUGCUUGCUUGUGCCUCAUAUAUCCGGUGAUGAUGAAGUCCAUUCACUGUAUGAAACUUACUUCCCCUUGAACGUUUGAUUUCCAACGAUCCAUUGUAUGAUGUCA